CAAUAGCGUAUAUUAAAGUUGUUGCGGUUAAAAAGCUCGUAGUUGGAUUUCUGCCGAGGACGACCGGUCCGCCCUCUGGGUGAGUAUCUGGCUCGGCCUGGGCAUCUUCUUGGAGAACGUAUCUGCACUUGACUGUGUGGUGCGGUAUCCAGGACUUUUACUUUGAGGAAAUUAGAGUGUUUCAAGCAGGCAUACGCCUUGAAUACAUUAGCAUGGAAUAAUAAGAUAGGACCUCGGUUCUAUUUUGUUGGUUUCUAGAGCUGAGGUAAUGAUUAAUAGGGAUAGUUGGGGGCAUUCGUAUUUAACUGUCAGAGGUGAAAUUCUUCGAUUUGUCAAAGACGAACUAAUGCGAAGGCAUCUGCCAAGGAUGUUUUCAUUGAUCAAGAACGAAAGACAGGGGAUCGAAGAUGAUCAGAUACCGU
rnacentral:rRNA from 1 species